rnacentral:rRNA from 1 species
AGAUUGAACGCUGGCGGAAUGCUUUACACAUGCAAGUCGAACGGCAGCACGGGACUCAGGCAACUGAGCCCUGGUGGCGAGUGGCGAACGGGUGAGUAACAUAUCGGAACGUACCCAGUCGUGGGGGAUAACUCUCCGAAAGGAGAGCUAAUACCGCAUACGUCCUGAGGGAGAAAGCGGGGGACCUUCGGGCCUCGCGCCAUUAGAUGAGCCUAGGUCGGAUUAGCUAGUUGGUGAGGUAAAGGCUCACCAAGGCGACGAUCCGUAACUGGUCUGAGAGGAUGAUCAGUCACACUGGAACUGAGACACGGUCCAGACUCCUACGGGAGCAGCAGGUGGGGAAUA